UGUGCGCUCGUCCGUAAACCGUAAACGCAAAAAUAACUGUUAUCUCUUAUCUCUGUAGUAUCCUUGAGGAUGCCUUCCCUUGCUGCUGUUGGACAUGUUCUCAUAGCACCCGUGAUGCAGAUGCAUGUCAGUCUCUGUACAAUACUUUGCACAGGUUUUACCUUGCUGUACGUAGCUGUACCUUUGUGUACCAAGCAACUGUUCCAUAGAUUUCAGUUUCGCUAUUGAUUUCACGAGAGACGUCGUCGGAGAUUUCUACCCCGGCGAAAAUUUUAAGAUUUAUAUAUGGUCAUUUUUUACGGUUUGCAUAUAUUGCGUCGCCGCAACACCCACCAGCGGCAACACCACCGCCGCUCUUGGUGGAAGUGUGGGCGGACGAGGUAGGCCCCAUACAACUAACGGUAUGGGUCGAUGUUGAAAGCAACGUAGUCUACUUAUACUACUACACCAUACACACUGAAGAAGACGACUCGGAAGAUUACGACGAGUGAAGAUAAACCGAAAAUAAUAAUAAAUAUGGUGAUGAUUAUUAUUUGACGUUUGAAUAAAAAGUUAAAAGUA